AGAAAGCCCUGAGAAAAAGGUUGCACAUUCAAUGAUAGCAAACCAUGGUGUACUCACAAAUCUCACCCAGAUCACUCUGCCCCCUCCACCUGUCAGUGGAUCACCAGCUUCCUGGCAGAGAGGCAGCAGCAGGGCUGACCAGAGAACAAGAGACAGUUGCCAUGGUGAAGUAGGGAGAGUUGUCUUCCGAUCACAGGGAGAAGCUCGCUGUAUAAAGUGUAAGAUGACCUAAGGGAUGGACCCACACCAGGGGGACCAAGUUUAAACCGCAGUCUUCCCCCAAACUCUCAACCAGUGAUAUGAAUAUUCUCUUUCUGUGUCUCAUAAUAAAAGUGUGUUCUGCUUGG